rnacentral:rRNA from 1 species
UACGUAGGGUGCGAGCGUUAAUCGGAAUUACUGGGCGUAAAGCGUGCGCAGGCGGUUUGCUAAGACCGAUGUGAAAUCCCCGGGCUCAACCUGGGAAUGGCAUUCGGGACUGCAAGGCUGGAGUGCGGCAGAGGAGACUGGAAUUCCUGGUGUAGCAGUGAAAUGCGUAGAUAUCAGGAGGAAUACCGAUGGCGAAGGCAGGUCUCUGGGCUGACACUGACGCUCAUGCACGAAAGCGUGGGGAGCAAACAGG